rfam:Triticum aestivum genome assembly, contig: Triticum_aestivum_CS42_TGACv1_scaffold_201453_3AL
AGCGGGGUAGAGGAAUUGGUCAACUCAUCAGGCUCAUGACCUGAAGACUGCAUGUUCGAAUCCUGUCCCCGCCU